AUUGAACGCUAGCGGCAGGCUUAACACAUGCAAGUCGAGCGGAGAUGAGGUGCUUGCACCUUAUCUUAGCGGCGGACGGGUGAGUAAUGCUUAGGAAUCUGCCUAUUAGUGGGGGACAACAUUCCGAAAGGAAUGCUAAUACCGCAUACGUCCUACGGGAGAAAGCAGGGGAUCUUCGGACCUUGCGCUAAUAGAUGAGCCUAAGUCGGAUUAGCUAGUUGGCGGGGUAAAGGCCUACCAAGGCGACGAUCUGUAGCGGGUCUGAGAGGAUGAUCCGCCACACUGGGACUGAGACACGGCCCAGACUCCUACGGGAGGCAGCAGUGGGGAAUAUUGGACAAUGGGGGGAACCCUGAUCCAGCCAUGCCGCGUGUGUGAAGAAGGCCUUAUGGUUGUAAAGCACUUUAAGCGAGGAGGAGGCUACUGAGACUAAUACCCUUGGAUGGUGGACGUUACUCGCAGAAUAAGCACCGGCUAACUCUGUGCCAGCAGCCGCAGUAAGAC
rnacentral:rRNA from 1 species